rnacentral:rRNA from 1 species
UGGGGAAUAUUGCACAAUGGGCGAAAGCCUGAUGCAGCGACGCCGCGUGAGGGAUGACGCCCUUCGGGUUGUAAACCUCUUUCAGUAGGAACGAAGCGCAAGUGACGGUACCUGCAGAAGAAGCACCGGCUAACUACGUGCCAGCAGCCGCGGUAAUACGUAGGGUGCGAGCGUUGUCCGGAAUUACUGGGCGUAAAGAGCUCGUAGGCGGUUUGUCACGUCGUCUGUGAAAUCCUAGGGCUUAACCCUGGACGUGCAGGCGAUACGGGCUGACUUGAGUACUACAGGGGAGACUGGAAUUUCUGGUGUAGCGGUGGAAUGCACAGAUAUCAGGAAGAACACCGAUGGCGAAGGCAGGUCUCUGGGUAGUAACUGACGCUGAGGAGCGAAAGCAUGGGUAGCGAACAGG